rnacentral:rRNA from 1 species
AUCCAGGAGAAGUCUGAUGGAGCACGCCGCGGUGAGCUGAUGAAGGUUUUCGGAUCGUAAAGCUCUGUUGUAAGGGAAGAACAAGUGCCACAGGNACUGNUGGCACCUUGACGGUACCUUGCCAGAAAGCCACGGCUAACUACGUGCCAGCAGCCGCGGUAAUACGAA